rnacentral:rRNA from 1 species
AGGGUUUGAUCAUGGCUCAGGAUGAACGCUGGCGGCGUGCCUAAUACAUGCAAGUCGAACGCACGACAUUGGGAGCUUGCUUCUAAUGAAGUGAGUGGCGAACGGGUGAGUAAUACAUAAAUAAUCUGCCCUAAUGACUGGGAUAACUUCUGGAAACGGAAGCUAAUACUGGAUGUAAUAUGAUUUGGUAGCAAUUGAUAUGAAAAGGAUGGGCAAUACGACCAUCGCAUUAGGAUGAGUUUAUGGUGCAUUAGCUAAUUGGUGGGGUAAGGGCCUACCAAGGCGAUGAUGCAUAGCCGACCUGAGAGGGUGACCGGCCACACUGGGACUGAGACACGGCCCAGACUCCUACGGGAGGCAGCAGUAGGGAAUUUUCGGCAAUGGAGGGAACUCUGACCGAGCGACGCCGCGUGAGUGAAGACGGCCUUCGGGUUGUAAAGCUCUGUUAUCAGGGAAGAAUGCUCAUGACAGGAAAUGGUCAUGGGGUGACGGUACCUGAUCAGAAAGUCACGGCUAACUACGUGCCAGCCGCCGCGGUAAUUC